UCUGAUUGCCUGUGAGCAGUUUACAGGGUC
rnacentral:piRNA from 1 species